rnacentral:tRNA from 1 species
UGCCCAGGGGCGGGAAUCGAACCCACACUCUUCUGCUUACCGGGCAGGUGCCUUGUCCACUCGGCUACGUCCAGGGU